rnacentral:rRNA from 11 species
CUCUGAGGCCUAAAUACUCUAAAUGCAUCAGAUCCUAUCUGGUCUUGGAAGCAAGGUGGAGUAGACUCUGGUUAGUAUUUGGAUGAAAAAUCGCCAACAAAUGUGAGAUUCUGUAGGCU